ensembl:lncRNA
GACCUCAGGUUGCCUACAAGAUCUUUGAAAAACUGCCUUAGGUUAUAGGGGCCAUUUUACCUCUGAGCUCCCAGAGGAGCAGGGAAUAUUUCUUGCUAAUGUGUGUUACGGGCUGAAUUGUAUCCCCCGCAAACUCAUGUGUUGAACCUCUAAAGCCCGGUACCUCAGAAUGUAGCCGUAUUUGAGAAUGAGGUCUUAAAAGAGGUGAUAAAGUUGCAAUGGGGCUAUUAGGGUGGCCCUUAAUCCAAUAUGGCUGUGUCCUUAUAAGAAGAGGAAGAGACACAAGGGACCAUCCUGCACGGAAGUAAUCAUGCGGGGAGGCAGCAGGGAGGUGGCCGUCUGCCAGCCAAGGAUAAGAGCCUCAGAGGAAACCAACCCUCCGGCACUUUGAUUUUGGACUUCCGGCUUCCAGAACCAUGAGAAGUAAAUGUCUGUUUAAGCCAGCCGGUCUGUGGCAUUUCAUUUUGGCAGCCCAAGCCACGGCAGACUGUGUUGCCGGUGCCUAGCGGGGAGUGGAUGCUAAUAAAUGCAUGCUGAAUUGGCUGAACUGGAUGCAUGUUCAUUUCCCAUGAAAUGAAAAAGAAGGCCUGGGUCCCAGGGUUUGCGACCCUUUGAAGAGAGAUGCCCUUCCAGGGGAGGGGCUGCUGGUGCCUGGAAGCUGUUGGCCAGAUACCAAACGAGAACAUGCUGGAAGAAGGCCUCAGUAGCAGCAGCUACUCUCACCUCCCCAGCUCCAUCCCGCCUGCCACAGUUUCGGGGAGGAGAAGCCAUGGCCCUGAGGUUACCACUGGGAUUCCCGGAGCUGUGAAGACUGCAUAUUCAGAGUAUCAUUCUUCAGAGAGUCCAUGCUGAUGACGCUGGUCCAGGGCUGGGAGGUCCUCCACUGUUGGCAGAGUCUCACAAAGGCUGUCAUGAAGACAGUUCAAGCCCCAUCUCCAAGGUCUCAACUAACACUUGCCCUGAAGGCCGGCCUGGGCACAGGUGCCUCCAGUUUCCAGACGGCACGUCAUGGUGAUUGCAUUCUUUUCUUUCCCUUGUCCCUUGGUUUUUGUUUUUAAGUUUUAACUUAAGUUUUUAUUUUAUUUUUUUAAAAGAAGUUCAUUCAUUUAUUUUGAGAGCGUGGGGAGCCAGAGAAAGGGGAGAUAGAGAGAAUCCCAAGCAGGCUCUGCAUUGCUGGCAUGGAACCUGCCUGACAUGAGGUUCAAACCCACAGGACAGCGAGAUCAUGACCUGAGCCGAAGUCGGAUGCUCAACUGACUGAGCCACCCUGGUGCCCCUGCAAUAAGGUAUUUUGAGAGAGAGAGAGAGAGAGAGAGAGAGAGAGAGACCACAGACCACAUUCAUGUAACUUUUAUUAGAGUAUAUUGUUGUAAUUGUUCUAUUUCAUUAUUAAUUGUUACUCUCUUACUGUGCCUAAUUUAUAAAUUAAACUUUAUCAUGAGUAUGUAUGUAUAGGAAAAUCAGUAUAUACAGGGUAUGGUACUAUGUGUGUUUUAGGCAUGCACAAGGAGUCUUGGUACGUAUCCCUUCAGAUAAGGGGGGGCACUACUGUGCACCUGGAUAUGCAAAUCUGUUUACUCAGAUAGUCUAUACAUAUAGCACAUAAAAGCCAUGAACAAAGUAGAAAUGUACAAGGAUGAUAUUUUUCGUAAUAUGGAAACAUGUAUGUACUUAUCUGUUAUGCUUUUUCUCCCAUGUGUUAUGUUUAUGAAAACCAUAUAUAAAAAUGCAAAUGUAAGAAGAGAUACAUGUAAAAGAGAUAAUGAGAUACAUGUAAAGAGAUACAUGUAAGAGAUACAUGUAAAAAAGUUCUUAUUUCUUUUCUGCCUCCACCCCAGUGGUUGUCUUUAAAAAAAUAUUUUUAUUUUUUAAUACAAAAAAAUUAUAUUAAAUUUUGUGAGCCACUGGGUGGCUCAGUUGGUUGGGCAUCCGACUUCGGCUCAGGUCGUGAUCUCACGGUUCACGAGUGAAUUCGAGCCCCGCGUCGGGCUCUCUGCUGUUGGCACAGAGCCUGCUUCGGAUCCUCUCUGCACCUCCCCUGCUCAUGCUUGUGCUCUCUCUCUCAAAAAUAAACAUUAAAAAUAUUUAUUUUUAAAUAUUUAU